CGAACCGCAUUGUCCAUCUAUGACUGUUAUGAAAUUCAUUUCCGCUUUGGGAGGAAGAAACGAGCGGCAGCAAGUACAAUUGCUAGGUGCGCCAUGACACGUGACAUGACACGAGGGUUAAUUGAAGAGGGAAAAAAUUAAUUGUUAAUAAACAAUCAGUUACUAGAGGGAAAAAUCGCCGAGGACGACAUUGGUCGUUUCUGGAAACCUUCCAAAUUUAACCGGUCCCCAGGAUCAACCAACGGUCAUUCCAAUUCCACUGCUAUCACUUCUGGCGGCCGAGCCCCCAGAAGACGGGGACAGCGAGGCGUCAUCAUUAACCGGUACUCCAAGCACUGUAAUCAGCGGCAGUCGGAAGAGGAAGCAACGCUCCCCCAUCGAAAAUUGCAAAGAAAACAAUGCAAGAAACACGACGUAGAAAGAAAGUUUCUUGUCGUAUCCAAGAAAUUGGCACCAGUUGACGUUUUAAAGGUAGAACUUUUGUUGCUGGGAUUAUUACCAGAACGUGUCUAAUAUGUGGACAAUUUUUAAGACACGAUUUAAUUUUUUUCUGAGUCGUGAUUUUGAUUUAUUAAUGUAUUUAAACAUUAAACUCUCGUAAUUCUCAUGGAGAGAAAUAGUUCAGGAUGGUAUACUCGAACACUGCACAGUCUUCAAUUCUGUAUGCUGUAGUCCCUCGGUCUGUGAUUUGAUCUUUGUCAGUGGAGAUGAGAUGGAGACGGAUACUGACACGCACCUGGAUGAGGAGUUGGAAGAAGAUAAGCUCUGGGAAGAAGAUUUCCUGCAAACUUUCCAGCACCAAGAAGAACAUUGUACAGUGAGGAUGAGGGGGUGAAGAAUUUGAAUGCGAAUAUUCCUCAUCUUCUGGCAACAAAUAUCUACAUAUAUUGUAUCUUGUUCUCCAAGUUGGUAAUAGUCCAGCCUCUAUAGCGUUUUUUU